rnacentral:rRNA from 1 species
CCUACGGGAGGCAGCAGUGGGGAAUAUUGCACAAUGGGGGAAACCCUGACGCAGCAACGCCGCGUGGAGGAAGAAGGUCUUCGGAUUGUAAACUCCUGUCUUCAGGGACGAAUUAAUGACGGUACCUGAGGAGGAAGCCACGGCUAACUACGUGCCAGCAGCCGCGGUAAU